GAUGAACGCUGGCGGCGUGCUUAACACAUGCAAGUCGAGCGAGUGAGUUCUUCGGAACGAUCUAGCGGCGGACGGGUGAGUAACACGUGGGCAACCUGCCUCAUAGAGGGGGAUAGCCUCCUGAAAGGGAGAUUAAUACCGCAUAAAAUUAUCGAGUGGCAUCACAUGAUAAUCAAAGGAGUAAUCCGCUAUGAGAUGGGCCCGCGGCGCAUUAGCUAGUUGGUGAGGUAACGGCUCACCAAGGCGACGAUGCGUAGCCGACCUGAGAGGGUGCUCGGCCACAUUGGGACUGAGACACGGCCCAGACUCCUACGGGAGGCAGCAGUGGGGAAUAUUGCACAAUGGGGGAAACCCUGAUGCAGCAACGCCGCGUGAGUGAUGAAGGUCUUCGGAUUGUAAAGCUCUGUCUUUGGGGACGAUAAUGACGGUACCCAAGGAGGAAGCCACGGCUAACUACGUGCCAGCCGCCGCGGUAA
rnacentral:rRNA from 1 species